rnacentral:piRNA from 1 species
UCUUCUGACCUGCAGGGAUACAUG